rnacentral:rRNA from 1 species
AGAGUUUGAUCCUGGCUCAGGACGAACGCUGGCGGCGUGCCUAAUACAUGCAAGUCGAGCGGAGUUGAAGAGGUGCUUGCACCUCUGAUACUUAGCGGCGGACGGGUGAGUAACACGUGGGCAAUCUGCCCUUCACUCUGGGACAAGCCCUGGAAACGGGGUCUAAUACCGGAUAACACUCUGUCCCGCAUGGGACGGGGUUGAAAGCUCCGGCGGUGAAGGAUGAGCCCGCGGCCUAUCAGCUUGUUGGUGGGGUGAUGGCCUACCAAGGCGACGACGGGUAGCCGGCCUGAGAGGGCGACCGGCCACACUGGGACUGAGACACGGCCCAGACUCCUACGGGAGGCAGCAGUGGGGAAUAUUGCACAAUGGGCGAAAGCCUGAUGCAGCGACGCCGCGUGAGGGAUGACGGCCUUCGGGUUGUAAACCUCUUUCAGCAGGGAAGAAGCGAAAGUGACGGUACCUGCAGAAGAAGCGCCGGCUAACUACGUGCCAGCAGCCGCGGUAAUACGUAGGGCGCAAGCGUUGUCCGGAAUUAUUGGGCGUAAAGAGCUCGUAGGCGGCUUGUUGCGUCGGUUGUGAAAGCCCGGGGCUUAACCCCGGGUCUGCAGUCGAUACGGGCAGGCUAGAGUGUGGUAGGGGAGAUCGGAAUUCCUGGUGUAGCGGUGAAAUGCGCAGAUAUCAGGAGGAACACCGGUGGCGAAGGCGGAUCUCUGGGCCAUUACUGACGCUGAGGAGCGAAAGCGUGGGGAGCGAACA